AUCCAUAUAUUUCUGUAUUUCCUGGAUAAGGAAGAGGAAAGGAGCUGAGCUGGUGGAGGAAGAAGAUCUAAUAUUAACUGACUCCUUAUUUUGUACCAGGAGACACCGGGUUAAACAAGGAAGAGGCUUUAUUCGGCCGGGAAAUCGGCAGACUUGCGUCUCAAGAACAGAACUAAGCUCCCCGAAGAAAGAGUUCCUGGCCCUUUUAAGGGCUUACAACUCUAAGGGGUCCAGGUGACAGGGUCGUGAUAGACUGAGCAAGCAUGGGGUACGUGACUAGGUGGGGGUAAGCAAGGCAAGGACGUGUCAACAUAGAGACUUAGGAGGACAAAGUGAACUUCCUGAUCCCCAACAGGCAGAUCCCCAAAAGCCAAAAUGUAUGUGUCACCUUGGAAGAUGA
rnacentral:lncRNA from 1 species